GUCAGCUCGUGUCGUGAGAUGUUGGUUAAGUCCGCAACGAGCGCAACCCCUAUCUUUAGUUGCCAUCAUUGAGUUGGGCACUCUAAAGAGACUGCCGGUGUCAAACCGGAGGAAGGUGGGGAUGACGUCAAGUCCUCAUGGUCUUUAUGACCAGGGCUACACACGUACUACAAUGGCCGGUACAAAGGGCAGCGACACAGCGAUGUGAAGCCAAUCCCGAAAAGCCGGUCUCAGUCCGGAUUGGAGUCUGCAACUCGACUCCAUGAAGUUGGAAUCGCUAGUAAUCGCGGAUCAGCACGCCGCGGUGAAUACGUUCCCGGGCCUU
rnacentral:rRNA from 1 species